rnacentral:rRNA from 1 species
AGUGAGGAAUAUUGGUCAAUGGGCGCGAGCCUGAACCAGCCAUCCCGCGUGCAGGAUGACGGCCCUAUGGGUUGUAAACUGCUUUUCUACGCCAAGAAAGGCCCGUACGGGUACGGGAUUGACGGUAGCGUAGGAAUAAGCAUCGGCUAACUCCGUGCCAGCAGCCGCGGUAAUACGGAGGAUGCAAGCGUUAUCCGGAUUUAUUGGGUUUAAAGGGUGCGCAGGCGGGCUUGUAAGUCAGUGGUGAAAAACUGCCGCUUAACGGUAGAGGUGCCAUUGAUACUGCGGGUCUUGAGUAUGGUUGAGGUAGGCGGAACGUGCAGUGUAGCGGUGAAAUGCAUAGAGAUUGCACAGAACACCGAUUGCGGAGGCAGCUUACUAAGCCAAUACUGACGUUGAGGCACGAAAGCGUGGGGAGCGAACAGGAUUAGAUACCCUGGUAGUCCACGCCGUAAACGAUGUUCACUCGCUGUUUGCGAUACACAGUAAGCGGCUGAGCGAAAGCAUUAAGUGAACCACCUGGGGAGUACGAUCGCAAGGUUG